CCUGUGACCCUGAUCAGUUUCCUGCCCCUGCGUUUCCAACCAGUAGACCCCUGCAGUCAGUCCAAGUGUUCUGUGUCCUCCUGCACAUGUUCCUGAGUUCUUCUUCUUCUUCUUCUUCUUCAUGUGUGACCUUCUCUACUGUUUCUGUUUGUGAUCAUCUUUCCUGGACGACAAACUUAACUGAGGUGACCGGGUCUCACACGCCAGCGUCUCCGGCGACUUCGGCAGCGCUCGAGGAAACUUCUUCUUCAGUUCAUCUAAUAUAUAAUCAGGAGGGGAACUGGCUGUGGAGCGACGGCACUGCGGCAGAUUUGACAGCAAGGGGAAGAAGCACUGUCGUCCAAAUGAACCAAGGCCGCAGAAACUGCUGGGACGACGAGACACCAAAGGAACAUCUUAACCUGGAGUUGGAUGAAGCGCACGCACACACACAGACACACACUCUGCUUUGUGUUUGCUUUUUGCCAUCUCGUUUUUACACCUUUUACCUCUUUACAGUCGCUGCAACAAUUUCUACAUCAGAGGAACUAGGUGACAUCCACAGGAGCUGCUGGGUUGUGUCUGUAGUUCCUGUGUCUCUUUAAUAAGAGGAAACUAAAUUGAUGCUUCUAACUCGCCCUUAUACUUAUAUUGUAUAAGGGCGAGCUUAUACUGGCGAGGGAGACGCUUUUCUUCAUAAACAAA